rnacentral:rRNA from 1 species
CCUACGGGUGGCAGCAGUGAGGAAUAUUGGUCAAUGGGCGCGAGCCUGAACCAGCCAAGUAGCGUGAAGGAUGACUGCCCUACGGGUUGUAAACUUCUUUUAUAAAGGAAUAAAGUGAGGCACGUGUGCCUUUUUGUAUGUAUUUUAUGAAUAAGGAUCGGCUAACUCCGUGACAGCAGCAGCUGUAAUACGGAGGAUCCGAUCGUUAUCCGGAUUUAUUGGGUUGAAAGGGAGCGUAGAUGGGUUGUUAAGUCAGUGGUGAAAGUUUGCGGCUCAAACGUAAAAUUGCAAUUGAUACUGGCAGCCUUGAGUACAGGUGAGGUAGGCGGAAUUCGUGGUGUAGCGGUGAAAUGCUUAGAUAUCACGAAGAACACCGAUUGCGAAGGCAGCCUACUAAACUGCCACUGACAUUGAUGCUCGAAAGUGUGGGUAUCAAACAGGAUUAGAUACCCCUGUAGUC